UCCCGGAGCGUGCGGCUUGGGCAUCCGGAUCCGGAUCUGUGCUCGCGGUGUGGGGCCGUGCGCGGGGGCGGCGGGGGUCGCGGUGCCAUGGUUCUGAGCCCGGUGAUCGGGAAGCUGCUGCACAAGCGCGUGGUGUUGGCCAGCGCCUCCCCGCGCCGCCGGGAGAUCCUCAGCCAAGCGGGUCUCAGGUUCGAGGUGGUUCCGUCCAGGUUCAAAGAGAAGCUCGAUAAAGCCGCCUUCCCCACCCCUUAUGCUUACGCCAUCGAAACAGCGAAGCAGAAGGCCUUGGAGGUGGCCUCCAGGAUGCACCAGAAAGACCUCCGGGCCCCCGACGUUGUCAUCGGAGCGGACACCAUCGUGACGAUCGGGGGGCUGAUUCUGGAGAAGCCAGUGGACAAGCAAGACGCGUACAGGAUGCUCUCCAGGUUGAACGGGAAGGAGCACAGCGUGUUCACGGGCGUCGCCAUCAUCCACUGCUGCAGCCAAGAUGGCCAGCUGGACACGGACGUGUGCGAGUUCCACGAGGAGACCAUGGUGAAGUUCUCGGAGCUGUCCGAGGACCUUCUGUGGGAGUACAUCGACAGCGGGGAGCCCAUGGACAAGGCCGGCGGCUACGGGAUCCAGGCCCUGGGCGGCAUGCUGGUGGAGUGCGUCCGUGGGGACUUCCUCAAUGUCGUGGGCUUCCCGCUGAACCACUUCUGCAAGAAGCUGGUGGAGCUGUACUGCCCGCCCCGCCGCGAGGACGUGCAGCGGGUCAAGCACGAGUCCAUCCCCGCCGUGGACACCUUCGAGAUCGCGAGCGACGCUGCUCAGGGUGACGAGGGCUGCGGCCCCAGCAGCGCAGGGGUUGACGGUCACACCGGACAGGCUCCUGCUGGCCCCCAGGGCCCAGACACGAAUGGGCUGGUGGAGAACCCGCCCCCCUUCCCGUCGGACCUUCUAGACCUCAUAGACGGCUUUAAAGCAUCCAAGGCUCUGUUCACGGCUUGCAAACUGAAGGUGUUUGAUGUACUGAAAGAGGAAGGCCCCCUGAAGGCGGUGGAUGUUGCACGCAAAAUUAACGCCUCUGUGUGUGGAACUGGACGGCUCCUGGAUGUCUGCGUGGCCCUGGGAUUACUGGAGAAGACAGACACAGGUUACGGUAACACGCGGCUGGCAAGCCGGCACCUGGCGUCGGAGGGCGCGUGUUCUCUCCACGGCUUCGUCGCCUAUAACGAUGAGCACGCGUGGACCGUGUUCACAGACCUGGAGUCUGCGGUGCGACAGGGACCCCGCGCGGCUGCGGAGAGUCCGGCGGAGGACCCGUCUCAGAGCAGGGACCGGAGGCUGCGUUUCAUGCGAGCCAUGCACGGCCUCACCCAGCUGACAGCUCGCCAGGUGGCCACGGCCUUCGACCUGUCCCGAUUCACCUCUGCCUGUGACCUGGGAGGCUGCACAGGUGCGCUGGCCCGAGAGCUGGCCCGGGAGUACCCGCGUCUGAAGGUGACCGUGUUUGACCUCCCGGAGGUCAUCGAGCACGUGUCGAGUUUUCACCCCGAGGGACGGCAGCCAGAGCGCCUCCGCUUUGUGCCAGGUGACUUUUUCAAGGACGACCUCCCGGACGCACAGCUGUACGUCCUUUCCAGAAUUCUCCACGACUGGGCGGACGACAGAGUGCACGAGCUACUGAGCCGGGUGUCCCGCAGCUGCAAGCCAGGUGAGACCCCUGCCACUGCGCGGCCUCCCUCCGCUUGCAGAGAGGGAAAGGGAGGGUUUUACCGACAGCCAGGCGCCCCCUGCGCCCCCGCGCGCGCGCGCUCUGCCGGUCCCUGCGGACGUGCAGGAGGAGCCAGGAGGGCGGCCGCAGCUUUGGGACCAUCUCACCCGAGUCUCCCCGUCCUGGCCCCAGGAAGUGCCGGCAUCUGUGUUCUCGGGCCGGAGGUUUCCCGGACGCCCCAGCCUGUGUCCCAGGGGGCCUGGAGCAGGGCAUAUCCAACCCCGGCCCGGGGGCCCCUUCCCAGGCCUCCGAGGUCCCCGAGCGCCUGGUGACACUGUAAGCGCCUGUAAGACACUUCUGUUACCUCCGCGUGCGGUUAGGGAACACGAAACAGCAGUUCACUUUCCAGUUUGCCGGAAACAACCGUCAUUUUUGGUCUCGUAUUUUGCCCAAAGAGCGAAGCAAGGGUCAAGUGCAAUCGUGUAGGUUGGGACUCCCCAAAUCUGCAGGCAGCCGGAGACCUGGGACUAGUCCCAACACUGGCUGGAGGCAGAAUUCCCUCCUCCGGGGGAGGGGGGGGGGGACGGGGGUGUGUUUUCUCUUGAGGCGUUUAACUGAUUAGACGAGGCCCACCCACACCACGGAGGGCCAGCUGUUUUGCCCCAGGUCGCACAUUUAGAUGAUAAUGUCAUCCAAAAGGCACCUUCACAGGACCACACGGAAUGAUGCUCAACGAUGAUCUGGGCCCUGUGGCCCCGCCCCAACAACUCCUAACAUGAGCUAUGGCCCCACUGCCCGCAUGCCCAGCCCCUCCCCUGGAGGGCGCUGAUGCCCUGCAGACCCGGGGAAGCCCGUCUCUGCUUAUCUGUGGCUCCUGGCUCAGCACCGGCCCCGUGAGCAGGAAGCUGGGAAACCACCCAUCCCGUAUGGGGCACAAGCCGGUGUUUCAGGAUGCUGGGGACCCAGGGACGAGCGUGUGUGGAAAUGCAGUCACACACCAGGAACUGGCACCGGAAGCAGCCAGGGUCCCUCAAGAGCAGCGUGGCCGUGUGAUGAGUUCGCGGGAAACCCAUUUGCACAGACGCCCACAUUCCUGGGUCACACGUGUGGAUGCGGAAGAGUCCCACAGAUGUCUGUGGACUCGAUGUGCCUGACGCCCACCCCUGCCAUUCCGAGGAGGCUCCUGGAGACGAUCUGGGGGGAAGGAGAGACAGAUGGCCCGGAAUCGGUCACCAGAGCUGCUCGGGCGCCGGACAAGGCGGUGGCCUCCUGGUGGUUGAAACGGCCCUGGACGAACGGCGAGCGGCCCGGGCCAGCCUGCCGGCGGCCUUGAACGCGCUGGUGCGGGCCCAGGGCAGGGAGCGCAGCCUGGCCGAGUAC